CUACUCGGGAGGCUGAGGCAGGAGAAUCGCUUGAACCCGGGAGGUGGAGGUUGCAGUGAGCCGAGAUCGCGCCACAGCCUCAGGCAGGUGUGUGCACCCACACUCACAACACCCAAAACACAGCCUCAGGCAGGUGUGUGCACCCGCACUCACAACAAAGCAGAGCCUCAGGCAGGUGUGUGCACCCACACUCACAACGGCCAAAACACAGCCUCAGGCAGGCGUGUGCAC
rnacentral:lncRNA from 10 species